GCGGAAUUAGUUUAGUGGUAGAAUGACUGCUUCCCAAGCAGUAGGCGCGAGUUCGAUUCUCGCAUUCCGCACCA
rnacentral:tRNA from 1 species